GUGCUGGCUUCAGCAGCACCCAUAAUAAGCGUGGAAUGGUACAGAAAAUAUGAGCAUGGCCCCUAUUCAAUGAUGACACACAAACUCAAGAAGUGUAUCUUUUUUUU